GACAAAGAGAGACUCCAACUCCCUUGUCAAAGAACAGAAAGUUCUCACUUUGGGGUAGCGGGAGGGAGGGAGGGAGUUCAGGAGCCUCUGGUUUUACCUAAACACAGGGGGCAUCUGCGGCUCCUGUGCUUUCCUGGAUGUGAGGAGGGGUGUGAGUCCGGGGGCCUCUCUGAGGGAGACAGCCGUGGGAGGGUGAAGAUGCGGUUCCUUUUCCUCCCCAGGGCCCCCACCCCCUGUCCCAGCGAUCUCGACACCAGAGACACUGCAGUGACGCGCCUCUGGGGCUUUCACACAGCGGGCUCGUCCCCGCGGGUGCGCUGUGCAGGCGGUCGGCAUGCCUGCUCUGUGGCAAGGUCAGAUUUAACUUGCUAAAUGUUACAGCGAACUUCAACUCUAAGACAAGACCCAGGGCCAGGCUGCAGGCCGAGAACUGCUCAAAGUCCCCCACAUUUGCCUCUGACGAAGGGAGAUGUGAUGAAGAGAGAAAUCCCCACAGGGUCUUCCCUAGUUCAGCAAUCCCCGAAGCAAGAUGUGAGGACCCUUCCAGAAGGAGGAUCACUGAAUCAGACCAUCCCAUCUGUCCCAGAGAGACGGCUGAGUGCCAGGAAGAAAAUGCAGUAAGGCCAAAAAAUGAAAGAUGUGAUAUAAACCUUACAAAAGAGGAGGUAAAACGUCUGUUUGCGCACAGCUGCUCACCUGGAGGACUCAACUCAAGCCAGCAGACUGCCUGGUCAGCGGACUCCCCAGGUGCGACCAGAGCAGGAGGCGCCCGCACCUUUCACACCAGGUGGAACCUGGCACUGACCCCGACGUUUAGAACAGGCUGGCCCCACGGUAGGCGUCAGAAAAUAUUUCCUGAUGUACUAAAGAAGCCACCAUUUAAUGUCCUGAAGUGUGAUUCAUGUGGAAGAUGUAAUAAUUCUGAACCUAAAUGCACCCCAAAUCAUACAGAUGCCUCAAAACAGAGCAAAAGUGGACAGAAUCCUCACCAGGUGACAGGAGGCAGCCCCAGUGACAGCAGGAGUUUCUGCAUGCACCUCUCACGGUAAGCCAGGGCUCCCAGACGCCCAUCAGGAAGGGCUGGAAGAGGCGGGGCACACAGGAGGCACCCUCAUCACAGGGAUACCUGUGGAGCCCAGAUCUGGCCCCGGAGGGUUUGAGGAACAAGAGUGGAUUUCCCAGGAGGCUCCAGCCCAUAAUUGGGAAUUGACUGUGCAUUGAAAAACUCCACCUGGACAGGGGAGGAGGAGGAAAGCGGAGGAGGAGCACAGCCCGGGGAGAAGGAACACCCAGAGCCUCAGAGGCCCAGGGUGUGGGAGGGUGGCGGGGCACCUCCGGUAUAGGGGGCCUUCCUUCCUUCCUCCUCUGUCCCCCCAGGCCAGCUUGCUGGCUUUACCCGACCCCUUGCUUAGCCUAAAGGCAACCUUUGGUUUCUACUUUCCCCCUUGGCUUAUAUUUUCCCUCUCGUUUCUCUUUCUCUUUCCUUUUUGCCUUUUCUGCACCCCUCUCACUCUCUACUGGGCUUCUUGUGGGAACAAGCUGCAGUCCUGUGCUGCACAGAGACGUUUCCAUCAGCAACAGCCCGCAUACACGAAGGUGGGCCAAGUUACAGUGCCAUGUUUCUACUGUACCUUUUUUUUUGAGACGGAGUUUCGCUCUUGUUACCCAGGCUGGAGAGCAAUGGCGCGAUCUCGGCUCACCGCAACCUCCCCCUCCUCGGAUCAGGCAAUUCCCCUGCCUCAGCCUCCCGAGUAGCUGGGACUACAGGCGUGCACCACCAUGCCCAGCUAAUUUUUUGUAUUUUGAGUAGAGACGGGGUUUCACCAUGUUGACCAGGAUGGUCUCGAUCUCUUGACCUUGUGAUCCACCCGCCUCAGCCUCCAAAGUGCUGGGAUUACAGGCGUGAGCCACCGCGCCUGGCCUCUAUUGUAGCUUUUCUAUGUCUGGAAAUGUUCAGAGGUAGAAAUACUUACCGUUGUGUUACCACUGUGAUAGGCCACACCGUACAGCCUGUGUGUGGAGUAGGCUCGGUCAUCUCGGUUUGUGUAAGUCACUCUAUCAUGUUUGCACAACCACAAAAUCACCCGGUCACACAAUUCUCAGAUAUAUCCCUGUUGUUAAGCAAAGCAUGUACACGCUUAUACAUACUUUCUUAAGUAUAUAUCAAUCAUUAUCUCUAUGUACUGAUUUUUUUUUGGUUCCCCAUUUUAGGAGUCUAAUGAAUUACAGGUACUGCUCAUGUAUUCUCUCCCUCUCCCUCUUUCUCCUCUCUCUCUCUCUCUCUCUCACACACACACACACAUGCACACACACAAAUGAACAAUUCUUUUACAGGACGGGGGGAGCUUGAUGUAUUUGCAUGCUUGUUGACUAUUUGAUUUUCCAGAAUUUCUCCCAAGCCAGACAUUGGGUACGUACAAGGAGCUGUACAGCAUAACAAUUAUGCUGUUGAUAAUAAUAGCAAAUGAUGAAAAUAACACAUGUGCUCAGAAUAGGGACUCGGCAAGAUCAGUUAUGGAACGUUAUUCAGCAUUACAGGUUAAAGAGGUAUUCUCUGUAUGGAGGGUGGCAACAGCAGAUUAAUAGGCAAAUAAGACCAUUUCUGGUAUUCCUAGAUGCCAGUGGAAUGUGACCUGGGGUGGUGGCCGCAGACUGGCUGGGUGUGAGCCACCUGAUAAAGGCGCAACUUGCCGGUACUUGACACUCCGUUUGGCCAAAAUGCAACCCUUCGCAUUUCCUGCCCAAAUCUGCUUCUCCUCCAUUCCCCAUUCUGGCACAUCCCACCACUACUUGCUGCUGAAGCCACUUACUGUCUGGGUGUCUUGCCUUUGACUCAUCCUUCUCCAGGCUGUGUUACUCAAUCAGCUCUGUAGCUCCAGGCAUGGCUCAUUUUCCCUUUUGCCUGUUCAUGCAUCCGCUGAAUUCACCUUUGCUUUCAGCUGUAAUAUUCCCAUGGCCUUAAACCCAGCUCUGCCACCUUGGCCAAGAUUCCAUCAUCUUUCAUCAUACUGAGAAUUAUACUGAAAAAGAAUAGAAAUCUUACCACACCAUGCCUGUGGCUUUAAGCAUCUGUUUUCUUGGUUUUCAAUAUUUCAGGGCUAAUGUUGGGCAGAGCAGAGUCUUGAGGCAUAGAGGAGGUGGGGGUGACGGCAGGGCUGUGCUGACAUCCUCAUCCUAUGGAGAGAAGUGCCAGGGACUCCUGGGACAUGAUCAGCUGGGAGAGUGUGGUUAUAGCUUUCAGGCUUAUAAAAGGAACUAGCAGAAUGUCUAUCCGUCUAUUGAUCAAUGAAUCAGAACAGCGAGAGGCAGAGGAAAGCGUGUGAACUAACCUCUCAUCUCCUAUAUCCAGGACUCAACAUCCUUUAGGAGCCCUGGGAAGUGGAAUUGGGAGGUCAGGAGUUGGGUGGGCACCUGGUUUCCAUCAUCUGUAGGCCUCUGUGCAUCUGACUUUUACUACGGAAAUUUGACCUUUUUAAAAAUAAUUUUAUUUUCAAACAGAGUGAGCAUUAUAGGAACGAUUCGCUUAGAAAGUGAAAUUCCUGCAUAAUAUCAUCAUCUCAGGCACAAGCUGCAAAAUGGUUGGAAAUACCCAGAUGUCCUUUCAUUGACCUCAAGAAAUCACUGCAUUCUUAACAAACCCAGAUACUUCCCGGGUUAGUGUUUCACGGUUCGCUUAUAACAUUUCAUAUAUGUCUGAUCUCUCUCCUUUCAGUGCAUGCACACGUUCCGGUGGUUGUUUUAAAUUUCACUUCACAAAUAUUAAACAUUUUAUUUAAAAUUUACCAUUGGGCUGAGAGUGGUGGCUCACGUCUGUAAUCCCAGCACAUUGGGAGGCUGAGGCUGGAGGAUAUAGCAGGAGUGCAGGUGUUUGAGACCAGCCCGGGCAACAUAGCGAGACCCCAUUGCUACAAAAAUAAAUAAAUAAAUAAGUCUAUUAUUGAUACAUAUUUGGGCUGUUUCUCUCAUUCUCUCUUUUUUUUUACUCUUAGAAACUAUGUUGCGAUGAGUAAUUUUUCAGCCAACUUCGUGCACGUAGGCAUAUAUUUCUGUGGGAUAAAAAUCCUAGGUCCGGAACAUUGUGUUGACGAAUAAGUAACUUUAAAUGUUUGACAGAUUGCUAAAGUGCUACUAACAAGGACUAUUGAUGCCCACUCUGCCAACAUGGCAGGAAGGCCACAUACCUACCCAGCAUUCUUAUUGUGUUCAACUUCUUUCCAAUGUGUAAGAGAACAGUGACAUUUCCUUGUUGGGUUACAUUUUUAUUGUAGAAGAGCUUAACCAUAUUCUCACAUGGGUAGCAGAGACAUUUACAUUUAUUUUCUUGUGAUUUGUGUUCAUGACUUUCCCCCAGAUUUUCUAUUGGACUUUUUGUCUUUUUAAACAAUUUUCUCAUAAGACCUCUUUGAUACUUUGAAAAUUAAAAUUUCCUGUGUCACAUUUGUCAAAUUGUUACCACUUGUCUCACCUCAUACCCACCAGCAAGGCCGUAACAUAAAAGACAGGUAUCAAGUGUUGGCAAGGAUAUAGAGAAAUUGGAGCCCUCCUACACUGCCGAUGGGAAUGCAGAAUGGUGCAACUACUUUGGAAAACCAUCUGGCAGUUUCUCAAAAAGUUGAACAUACCAUUAUUAUAUGACCCAAUAAUUCUACUUUUAGGUGUAUACCCAAGAGACAGAAAAACGUAUGUCCACAUGAAAGUCUGAACACGAAUGAUCAUAACCCUAUUUACUAAAAACAGCCAAAAAGCCAAAACAAUAGCCAAAAUAACCCUACUUCUCAUUAACUGAGUGGAUCAAUAAGAUAUUUUUAUUUUAUCCAGACAGCAGGUUAUUAUUUGUAAUAAAAUAAUAAGUAGCGAUACAGACUACAGCCUGGAGGAAGCUUGGAAACGUGCUCAGUGACAGGAGCCAGACACAGGAUAAGACCACGAUUCCACUUACAUGCAAUGCGCGGAAGAUGGACAUCCGUGGAGAAAGCACGUUGGUGGCUGCCUAGGGCUGAAAGGGGAUGGGGAAAUUGACACAGAAAGGCUAAAACAUUUGAGGUUCUUUUUAGGGUAACAAAAAUGUUGUAAAAUUGAUUGUGGUUUGGCUCUGAAACUCUGUGAAUAUACUAAAGUCGUUGAUUUCUAUGCUUAAACAGGUGAAUCCUGCGGUGUGUGAAUCACCUCUGGAUAAACCCUUUAUAAAACCCCUUCCUCAUCAUCAGGGAGGACAUUCGUGCUGUGGAUGAUGGUGGUCCCAGCUGCUCCUGCCCUACACCUCCUAGAACUUUCCUAUCUGGGCCCUUACUAAAAUCCUGGUUAUCCUGAUUCAUGAGCAAAGGAUAAUGCUUCCUAUGAGGCAAUAGUUCCUGGAGCAGCCAGCACCUGUGGUCCUGAUGUUCCCACCUUAGAGCGUCUUCGGUGAUGUGGAC
ensembl:lncRNA